UCUCUCUCACAAUUUGGCAUUUUAAAUCAAUGUUAGCAUAGUCAAAAUUCUGACAUUCCACUUUGAGAAACCUAUUUACAUUGUUCAGUUGAUCUUCACUCAAACUUAUUUGAUAGUAAAAAAUCACAUUUCUAUUGAAUACCAUUUCAGUUAUCUAUUGCUGUAUAAUGAGUGCCCCCCAAAUUAGUGGCUUAAUUUAAAUGAUGGGUUAUUUCUCACAGUUCUGUGGAUUUCUGUGUUGGCAGGUACAAGACAACCUGGCAGUUGGUGCUAAUGGGGUGCCUUACUUCCCCUCCACAUGGUUUUCCAUCCCCCUAAAGACUUCCUUACAAGGUAGGCUUAUCAGAUCACGAAUAACAGUGCACCAGAGACUGAGCUUCCUGUGCCUUCAUUCUGUGGAGGAUAGGCUCUGUAAACAGACAGACUUAGGCAUUCUAAAUGGCAUGAGCUAGAUGAGCUACAUCUCAAAAGCUUCCUUUGAGGUAAAGUAACCUGUUUGUUUUCAAAAAAUUUUAGCCAUGUUGUCUGCAUAUCCACUGAGUCCUGUACCUUUAUGAUCCAUAGUUAGAUUUCCACCUAAUCCCAUAUGUCUCUUUUUAAAAAAUUUUUAUUUAUUUAUGAUAGUCACACACACACAGAGAGAGAGAGGCAGAGACACAGGCAGAGGGAGAAGCAGGCUCCAUGCACCGGGAGCCCGACGUGGGAUUUGAUCCUGGGUCUCCAGGAUCGCGCCCUGGGCCAAAGGCAGGCGCUAAACCGCUGUGCCACCCAGGGUUCCCAUCCCAUAUGUCUCUUAAACCACAGUUCAGCCCGACCCUUUGACAUCUCAUAAACGAAUUUCUGUAAUGCUCCUCUGACUUGGCAACUUACCCAAACACAUUCUCCAUGCUAUUCCAAUACUUGCAAAUAUUUCCUGAAAUAAUAACUCUUCCAUGGAUUCUUGCUGAACUGGUCAAGAUAAGCAUGAAAACUUACCUGUUUUUAGGUCUGCAAAUUCAGCUCAAGCCUUCACUACUUAAGUAUCAGUAUGGUCUGUAUUUUGCAUACUCUGCAAGAUUUUAUUGAGCCUACUAUCAAUAUGUUUGUUACUUGAAUAUAUUCUACCUAAGUUCAGCCUUUCUCUUUGUCUUUCUCUCUCUCUCCCUUUUAUUUAUAUGUAACAUGCUUGUAUUUACUCUAUUUUAUUAUAAUAUAAUGCCAGUACAGUAACUCUUGGACUCUAACCUAAUAGGUGGAAGGCGUCACAUUUGAAAUGCUUGUUGUAAAUGCCCGAAGUCAAAUCCGCUGCUUCAGUGCCAGAGGAAUACUUGGUGGUGAUGACUCGAUCAAUAUCCUCAGGACACUGGCUCCUGGUAAUAUUGCUUAAACAUUUUGCAUUAACUUGGCUUUAAGUGUUCCAGCUUUCUUUGCCCAGGAGAGCUAAUGAAAGAGAAACAUUAAAAUGAAGGCUAA
rnacentral:lncRNA from 1 species